GCGAGUGUAGCUCAGUUGGUAGAGCGCAACCUUGCCAAGGUUGGGGUCGCGCGUUCGAGUCGCGUCACUCGCACCA
rnacentral:tRNA from 1 species